UGACCCCUGUCUCAUGAGAACAUGUAACGCAUGAUAGUUCUAUGGCAGCCAUUUUGGAGCCUUGAGGUGAAGGAACAAGAAAAGGUGGACACAGAAACCAGAGACCCGAUGCUACAGAGCAGAACACGCAACCAACUACCUGUGGAUUUCCUGUCAUAUGCCACUAACAGUCAAGCUGGACCCUAAUGCAGGAGGCCUCCAGGCAUCUGUGAGUGGAGAGUGAAUAUUCCCUGACGUAAAGACUAGUUAUGUUCCAGAAUAUUCCAUCCUCCAAGUUCAUCAUCAGCUGCUUCUUAACACAUCCUGCCCUUAUACAUCUGCCUACCCUGGAGUGCUCAAGUCUUUAACUCCCAUCACAGGACAUGCUGAAACUGUGCCCUACUCUCCUGACUCAGUCCCUGGAAGAAUUUGGACGACAAGCUGUCCUUUCUGAAUGGUACAGGGAUCCCAGGAGGCUGUGAGCUCAGUCUGGAUUUGGUCACUGAGAACUGGACCUACAGCCUGGUGGAGGUUCCAAGGAGCCUGUUGGCUCUGUUUGUCAAGAUACUGGAGCCAGAGCCAAAGAUGUGUUGCCUGAUGUCUCCAUCACAGAUGCCAAGACUCCCUUCCUCCUGCUCAGGGCCACACAUCUGGAGAGGACAAGCAAAGCAGGACUCUGUACCUGGAAGCUGAUCUUACAGGCUAUGCCUGGCUCAAAAAGUGGCACU